UACGUAGGGGGCUAGCGUUGUCCGGAAUCAUUGGGCGUAAAGCGCGUGUAGGCGGUCCGGUAAGUCCGCUGUGAAAGUCGAGGGCUCAACCCUCGAAUGCCGGUGGAUACUGUCGGGCUUGAGUAUGGGAGAGGCGAGUGGAAUUCCUGGUGUAGCGGUGAAAUGCGCAGAUAUCAGGAGGAACACCGAUUGCGAAGGCAGCUCGCUGGAACGUUACUGACGCUGAGACGCGAAAGCGUGGGGAGCAAACAGG
rnacentral:rRNA from 1 species